rnacentral:tRNA from 1 species
UGCAUCGGUCGGGAAUCGAACCCAGGCCGCCCGCGUGGCAGGAGAGCAUUCUACCACUGAACCACCGAUGC